ACACAGGGACAGACAGGAGGACGUUAGACACACAGACAGGAGGACGUUAGACACACAGACAGGAGGACGUUAGAGACACAGACAGGAGGACGUUAGACACACAGACAGGAGGACGUUAGAGACACAGACAGGAGGACGUUAGACACACAGACAGGAGGACGUUAGAGACACAGACAGGAGGACGUUAGACACACAGACAGGAGGACGUUAGACACACAGACAGGAGGACGUUAGACACACAGACAGGAGGACGUUAGACACACAGACAGGUGGACGUUAGACACACAGACAGGAGGACGUUAGACACACAGACAGGAGGACGUUAGACACACAGACAGGAGGACGUUAGACACACAGACAGGAGGACGUUAGAGACACAGACAGGAGGACGUUAGAGACACAGACAGGAGGACGUUAGACACACAGACAGGAGGACGUUAGACACACAGACAGGAGGACGUUAGAGACACAGACAGGAGGACGUUAGACACACAGACAGGUGGACGUUAGACACACAGACAGGAGGACGUUAGACACACAGACAGGAGGACGUUAGAGACACAGACAGGAGGACGUUAGACACACAGACAGGUGGACGUUAGACACACAGACAGGAGGACGUUAGAGACACAGACAGGUGGACGUUAGACACACAGACAGGAGGACGUUAGAGACACAGACAGGUGGACGUUAGAGACACAGACAGGAGGACGUUAGAGACACAGACAGGAGGACGUUAGACACACAGACAGGAGGACGUUAGACACACAGACAGGAGGACGUUAGACACACAGACAGGUGGACGUUAGAGACACAGACAGGAGGACGUUAGAGACACAGACAGGAGGACGUUAGAGACACAGAAACCACUCUGCAGUUUAUCAGUGUUUUAAAAUAACUCAUCAGCACAGUACUGACUGUGGGUGUAGGACUGGGUGAACUGGUACUGACUGUGGGUGUAGGACUGGGUGAACUGGUACUGACUGUGGGUGUAGGACUGGGUGAACUGGUACUGACUGUGGGUGUAGGACUGGGUGAACUGGUACUGACUGUGGGUGUAGGACUGGGUG